rnacentral:rRNA from 1 species
UUGAACGCUGGCGGUAGGCUUAACACAUGCAAGUCGUGCGAGAAAGUAUCUUCGGAUACGAGUAGAGCGGCGGACGGGUGAGUAACGCGUAGGAAUCUACCUAGUAGAAGGGGAUAGCCCGGGGAAACUCGGAUUAAUACCGUAUACCUCCUUUGGGAGAAAGAGGGCCUCUCUUUGAAGCUUUCGCUACUAGAUGAGCCUGCGUAAGAUUAGCUUGUUGGUGAGGUAACUGCUUACCAAGGCUACGAUCUUUAGCUGGUCUGAGAGGACGAUCAGCCACAUUGGGACUGAGACACGGCCCAGACUCCUACGGGAGGCAGCAGUGGGGAAUAUUGGACAAUGGGCGCAAGCCUGAUCCAGCCAUACCGCGUGUGUGAAGAAGGCCUUCGGGUUGUAAAGCACUUUAAGCAGGGAGAAAAAGUUGUAAGUUAAUACCUUAGAACCGUGAUGUUACCUGCAGAAUAAGCACCGGCUAAU